UCCUGAGUGGCUCAGAUGUAAAGAAUCUGCCUGUAAUGCAGGAGACCCAGUUUUGAUCACUGGGUCAGGAA
rnacentral:tRNA from 1 species